CCCUUAGAUGUUCUGGGCCGCACGCGCGCUACACUGAUGCAUUCAACGAGUCUAAAACCUGCUCUGAUAGGGGUGGGUAAUCUUUUGAAUGUGCAUCGUGAUUGGGAUAGAUGAUUGCAAUUUUUCAUCUUCAACGAGGAAUGCCUAGUAAACGCAAGUCAUCAGCUUGCAUUGAUUACGUCCCUGCCCUUUGUACACACCGCCCGUCGCUCCUACCGAUUGAAUGAUCCGAUGAAUAUCAUGGAUUGAGGAUGCAAGUAGGUUCGCCUAUCUUCAUCUUCGAGAAGUGAAGUAAAUCUUAUCACUUAGAGGAAGGAGAAGUCGUAACA
rnacentral:rRNA from 1 species